GUGGUGGCGGCGGACUUGGUGGAGGGAUUGGGAAGGGUGGUGGGCUUGGUGGAGGAAUCGGCCAUGGCGGUGGACUUGGAGGAGGGAUUGGGAAGGGUGGUGGGCUCGGUGGAGGUGUUGGCCAUGGCGGUGGACUCGGAGGAGGCAUUGGGAAAGGUGGUGGGCUUGGUGGAGGUGUUGGCCAUGGCGGUGGACUCGGAGGAGGCAUUGGGAAAGGUGGUGGGCUUGGUGGAGGCGCAGGAGGUGGUGCCGGCGGUGGGCUUGGAGGCGGUGCGGGUGGAGGAGGAGGUCUCGGUGGUGGCGCGGGAGGCGGCUCCGGUGGUGGUCUUGGAGGAGGUGCAGGUUCCGGUG
rnacentral:lncRNA from 1 species